AAGGAGCCAGAAAACAAGGACAGCAGAGGGAAUAGACGAAACGAUGCGCGACUAGUAGCGCAUCGUUUCGUCUAUUCCUUCUGCUGUCCUUGUUUUCUGGCGCUUUUC
rnacentral:pre_miRNA from 1 species